rnacentral:lncRNA from 1 species
AGGUACUCCUGGCAAGUCUCUAUCUUUGGAGUUAAUUGGAAGUGUGGCUUUUCUUCGUGUGAUUUGUUCCUCAUGUGUCUUCAAUUGACGGCGCGGCAGCGGACUGAUACAUUUGGUAGCCUCCAUGCUCUUGGUGAUAACUACAAAUUCUCAACGCCCUUAACCCAAAGAAAUUGAUCAUAUUCACAGUUGCAAUUAAACCAGUACGAAAUUUAAUCUUGAUUAUAACAACAAAGAAGUGGGUUCUCU